rnacentral:piRNA from 1 species
UGGUACACCGUCUUAGACCUCAAGGAUGC